CUACGGGCCGCUCCAGUGAGGAAUAUUGCACAAUGGGGGGAACCCUGAUGCAGCAACGCCGCGUGGAGGAUGACGCAUUUCGGUGUGUAAACUCCUUUUAUAUGUCAAGAAAAUGACGGUAGCAUAUGAAUAAGCACCGGCUAACUCCGUGCCAGCAGCCGCGGUAAUACGGAGGGUGAAGCGUUACUCGGAAUCACUGGGCGUAAAGGACGCGUAGGCGGGUUGGAAAGUCAGGUGUGAAAUCCUACAGCUUAACUGUAGAACUGCACUUGAAACUUCUAAUCUAGAGUAUGGGAAGGGGAGAUGGAAUUAGUGGUGUAGGGGUAAAAUCCGUAGAUAUCACUAGGAAUACCUAAAGCGAAGGCGAUCUCCUGGAACAUUACUGACGCUAAGGCGUGAAAGCGUGGGGAGCAAACAGGAUUAGAUACCCGCGUAGUC
rnacentral:rRNA from 1 species